rnacentral:rRNA from 1 species
UACGUAGGGUCCGAGCGUUGUCCGGAAUUAUUGGGCGUAAAGGGCUCGUAGGCGGUUUGUCGCGUCGGGAGUGAAAACACCGGGCUUAACUCGGUGCUUGCUUUCGAUACGGGCAGACUGGAGGUAUGCAGGGGAGAACGGAAUUCCUGGUGUAGCGGUGAAAUGCGCAGAUAUCAGGAAGAACACCAAUGGCGAAAGCAGCUUCUGGGACGGUACUGACGCUGAGACGCGAAAGUGUGGGGAGCGAACAGG